rnacentral:rRNA from 1 species
AACGAACGCUGGCGGCAUGCCUAACACAUGCAAGUCGAACGAGACCUUCGGGUCUAGUGGCGCACGGGUGCUUAACGCGUGGGAACCUGCCCUUAGGUUCGGAAUAACUCCCCGAAAGGGGUGCUAAUACCGGAUAAUGUCUUCGGACCAAAGAUUUAUUGCCUUUGGAUGGGCCCGCGUUGGAUUAGCUAGUUGGUAGGGUAAACGCCUACCAAGGCGACGAUCCAUAGCUGGUCUGAGAGGAUGAUCAGCCACACUGGGACUGAGACACGGCCCAGACUCCUACGGGAGGCAGCAGUGGGGAAUAUUGGACAAUGGGCGAAAGCCUGAUCCAGCAAGGCCGCGUGAGUGAUGAAGGCCUUAGGGUUGUAAAGCUCUUUUACCCGGGAUGAUAAUGACAGUACCGGAAGAAUAAGCUCCGGCUAACUCCGUG